AUUGAACGCUGGCGGCAGGCCUAACACAUGCAAGUCGAACGGUAACAGGAAACAGCUUGCUGUUUCGCUGACGGGUGGCGGACGGGUGAGUAAUGUCUGGGAAACUGCCUGAUGGAGGGGGAUAACUACUGGAAACGGUAGCUAAUACCGCAUAACGUCGCAAGACCAAAGAGGGGGACCUUCGGGCCUCUUGCCAUCGGAUGUGCCCAGAUGGGAUUAGCUAGUAGGUGGGGUAACGGCUCACCUAGGCGACGAUCCCUAGCUGGUCUGAGAGGAUGACCAGCCACACUGGAACUGAGACACGGUCCAGACUCCUACGGGAGGCAGCAGUGGGGAAUAUUGCACAAUGGGCGCAAGCCUGAUGCAGCCAUGCCGCGUGUAUGAAGAAGGCCUUCGGGUCGUAAAGUACUUUCAGCGGGGAUGAAGGGAGUAAAGUUAAUACCUUUGCUCAUUGACGUUACCCGCAGAAGAAGCACCGGCUAACUCCGUG
rnacentral:rRNA from 1 species